rnacentral:rRNA from 1 species
AUUGAACGCUGGCGGCAUGCCUUACACAUGCCAGUCGAACGGCAGCAUGAUCUAGCUUGCUAGAUUGAUGGCGAGUGGCGAACGGGUGAGUAAUACAUCGGAACGUGCCCUGUAGUGGGGGAUAACUAGUCGAAAGAUUAGCUAAUACCGCAUACGACCUGAGGGUGAAAGUGGGGGACCGCAAGGCCUCAUGCUAUAGGAGCGGCCGAUGUCUGAUUAGCUAGUUGGUGAGGUAAAGGCUCACCAAGGCGACGAUCAGUAGCUGGUCUGAGAGGACGAUCAGCCACACUGGGACUGAGACACGGCCCAGACUCCUACGGGAGGCAGCAGUGGGGAAUUUUGGACAAUGGGCGAAAGCCUGAUCCAGCAAUGCCGCGUGUGUGAAGAAGGCCUUCGGGUUGUAAAGCACUUUUGUCCGGAAAGAAAUGGCUCCGGUUAAUACCUGGGGUCGAUGACGGUACCGGAAGAAUAAGGACCGGCUAACUACGUG